CGGCCGCACAAUUGGAGAUGAAUGUUCUAGUCCUACAAGUCUGCUAUAGAUGACAACAUAAAUUUGCAUAAUCUUUACCUUAAGGAACUGAAAAAAGGGGACAAAAAAAGAAAAAAAGAAAUUAAGCAAACAAUGAAUGUCAGUGGAUAUCUCAUGGAAAAUCGGUGGUCCAAAUUUGUUUUGAAUACUUUUAAUGAUCAAUUACCUAAGGCCAGUAGCACCAAUGACAGGAGCCAUCACAUUGGUAGUACANNNNNNNNCUUUAGGGUUUUACAUGCUGCCUUCUAUGUCUAUGUUGUAGACUUGAACAAAAUAUUAUAAGAGAGGCAUAAAACAUUUCUAGUUUCAGCAGAAAUCCAAAUGCAC
rnacentral:misc_RNA from 1 species